CCCCCUCCCAUCCCCCGGUUCCAUCCUCUCCCACCGGGCCGGGGUCCGCCGGUACCUCCUGCCCCGGUUGGACCGGGCCCGGCUGCGGGCUUUGCUGGGCUGCAGAGGAGCGAGCGGAGCUCCCGAAGCGCAGCGCUGACAGCUCCGAGCAGCUCUGUGCGUCCUCAAAGAGGAGAUGAAAGGGGAAAAGCAGCGGCUCGGCAGCGAACAACCCGCUCACUAAUGAUUUACAUCCCACCUGCUCGCCUCCGGAGAAGCGCGAGAGGAGCAAACAGCUCCUGCCCCAUCCCCUGCCGUGUUCCCAUCUGUGCUGCCGGUGCUCUGUUUAUUCAGGCACUGCGCUUCGGGAGGCUGUGCAAACAGCAGUAAGGAGCUCUGCCCCCAAAACGUUGCUCUGUUAGGGGGGAUUUGGGGCCGGGAGCGCUACGCUCUGCAUGCACACAGCGUGCUGACCCCAGGGUAGAGCAUCCCUUUGAGAACCGGAGGAGGAUGGGAGGGAGCAGCCUCCCUUUCCAGAACAAACCCCGCGUCUCCCGGCACAUCAGAUCUCUGUUUCAGCCGCCUCUGCACGUUUGAGAGUCUCUAAGUGUUAACGAAGUGUUUUCCUUUGUCCUUAAGGAACUUUACCCACACGCUGCACAGCCCGAUGCCCCCCGCUUUCCCCUCCCCUGGUUAUUGCAGCCGGACCGGGCCCUGGGCUCUGCACUGCCUUUGUUCAGCUGGAGCGAGGGGAGGAGGGACCCGCUGCCUUUGUCUGCCUGCAGCACAGCUGGGGGCUGCUCCUUGGCUUUCUCCUUCCAGAAACGCUGCAGAGCGAGGCAGACAAAGCAGCGCCGUGGGAAUAAACCCGCUGCAGGACUUAAUGAAGAGAUGUCAGGGAGCGGAGAGGAGGCGGGGGAGGAUGGGGAGGAUGGAGACGGUCAGUAAUCAAAGCUGGAGAUGGGCCGAGCUUGGAGAGAGGGGGAGGAAGAGGAGCUCCUGAAGCAGCAGCGCAGCGAGGAGCAGGAAGGAGCUGCAGAGCCUUCAGACCCUUCCAGUCGCCUCCAUCGUGCUGCGCUCCCAGCUAAGGCUCGCUUGGAGACCUCUGUGUCUGAUGGAACGGCGUUGUCCCCGUUAAUAAGUUUGUUUGCUGUUUGUCAGUAGAUCAUAAACGGCUUUGCUAACGCAGGGAGGUAACCAAGGAGUGGGAAGGGACACAUCUGUGGUUAUUUAGUGAGAGAUGGGGUGAGCUAUCCGUGUGCCCGGCUCUGCCCCAGUGCAGCACCACAGCUCUCAGCAUCCAAAGCACAGCAUCUGCAGCCUCCUCCGAGAGCGCUGUGCCCUCCCUGGCUGCUCUCAGCUAUGGGAAAUCCCAGAUCCGUUCCGUGGGCUCAGAUUCCCUGCAGGAGCAGAGGAAAUCCUCCGGGUUUCUCCAUCCCUCGGCAGCUCAGUGCUGGCACUCGCUGGUUCCAGCACACUGCCAGACACGAGUGGGAGGAUUGCAUCUCUCCCCAGAUGGUUUCCACAGCUGCACCUUGCAUCCUGCAGCUCUGCCUUGCUCCUGCUGCUGUGGGCAACAAGAGGCUGCAGGAAAUGAUAGAACAAGAGGGCUGCGCCUGCCCUGAAGGUGACAGCGAGCCAGGGUUGGGGAGCAGGGAGGUGAUUCAGGCGCACUCUCCACGUGUGGGGUUGGUUUGUGUUUAGGGCAGUGCUGUGGAUGUUCGCCUCCCCCUCUGGGUGCUCUCCGAACGGCAGAUGGCAUCCAUGGGCUGAGCGCUGCCACCUGCUGCUGUGUGACCCUGCCCUGCUGCUGGGGGGCUCCAGUGGGCUGCCAGGGCUGUGCUAACGGCAUCCAGCAGAUCCAAGGGAGUUUGCAAGCAACUCUACGUGAAAAGAGCCGGAGGAUCUUGCAAAUAACUCGAUGUGAAAGGGACGUUAUGCAUCUCCCCCAGUGCUCCCGUGAGCAGGCACUGCAUCUGAGUCCUGGCGCCUCACAGCUGCUGUGACAGGGCUGAAUUCUGCUCUCAUCUCCUCUGAGCACACUGUAAUGCUGCUGCACGUGGUGUGUGUGGCUGAAUCCUACUCACACUGCUGAGCUGUGCCGUGGGUUAUUCUGGCUUGGAUAGCUGCAAUUUUUAUUUCCCCAGAUGCACGUUGCAUCUUUGCUGUGGGUGAUGCUGCUUAUUCCACCUCUGGCACCGACGGAUCCCAUUGUGGCUGGAGGGAAAGAGCAAAACCCCAGCAGGAAGAUGGAGCCCCGUGACCCAACCAGGGGCUUUGGAUUGUGAGGAACAGCGCAGCAGGACGAGCCCUCAGUCCUGCAGGGCAGCCCAGCAGGAGUGUCCCAACUGUGUGCUGCUUUCACAGCUACAACACCCACCAGGCUGCUGCUGCCUGAACCACAGCGUGACAGCAGAGAUGCUCGAAUGCACACAUUGCACAGCUCCACGAGCAGCAGAUAUGCACCAGGUGACAGCACACAACCCCGGCUGCUCGUUCUGAUCUGAGCAGCCCUCCUGGUAUGCUGGGCAGGGCACCCGAAAGUGGCUGAAAGCAAAUUGCAGUCAGUGAUCGUUGUUCAGGGGCAGGAACUCAAUGCAUCUCACCUCAUCUCACACGGGGAGGACUGCUGCUGUCAGUCUGACACUGACAACCAAUUAAGAUGCCAAUUCAGUAGCAGGCACGCUUAGGCUUUGGCACAGAAGACCUGCUGAUGACAAAGCACAUUUGCUGAAGCUGGCCUGGAGGUUGCUGUGGCUGUUGCAAAGGGAAUGUUUUUAGGAAUAACUGGGUUACGACCCAGCUUCCUUCCUAAGACACACAGAUCAUUUGAUCUGCCUCGGAGAGCCGUUGUCAGCAGAGCCUUUGUGGCUCUCCAGCUCUGAACGGCGCUCAGCAAAUCGUGCAGCCGACUGCUGCCGUGUCCCCAUCUGAACUCCCAAUACCCCGAGUUGUGCUUGCUGAAAGGAGGGCCGAUCCAGCACUGAGCAGCACUGCCGCUGAUUGCUGUGCCGGUGUUGUUGCCAACGAGCAUCGCCUCUGUUGUCCUCAAGCAGGCUUUGUCUGCACAGACAGGAAGCUUCCUGAAAGCAAACUCCCAUAUAUCUGGCUGCAGAGCAGAUAUCUGGCUGCAGAGCUCCCGUGCCUUGCAUCAGUCCCGUAGCUUGCACAGCAAUGUGCUGCUCUGCUCCUGCUUGGAGGGAGAUGAUCUCUGGGGUCAGCGCUCCCUUUGCUCAUCAGCCAACCCAUUCCCAAAUGGGGACCCAGUGAGGAGUUGUGUGUGAAUGCUGUCUUAAUGCUUCAGCAUUGAAUUUCUCCUCGCUGGGAACGCUGGGGAUGGAGCACCUCCAUUGGGCACAGGGGUCCAUCUGUCAUUAUCAUCACUGUGUCCCUGUCCCCACCAGCUCCCCAACCCCGGUGACAUCCCUGCCCAGCAGACACAGCCUCCCAUCAUUAUCUGCCUGUAUGCAGUGGACACUGAGUCACAACCAUGAGAUGCAAAAGCUCCCAGCGCUGAGCAUGAAAGCUUUUUGGGGGGACUUUGCUUAUUUCUGUUCGAAACAGCUCCGCAUUCCAUGCUGCCCUAUGGGCAGCCCAUUGCCAGUAGCUCAGCCCUUGCCCCUAUGUAUUUUUUUCUCUUCUUGAUGUUCUUCACUGCUUGAACUUGUACACACAAAGCUGCUCAGAGCAAUGCAUUUUUUCUUUGCCCUGUCUGGCUGGAUGGGGCGGGAUUUGUGCUUUCCACGACCCAUCCCUGUCUGCAGCAUGUCUGCUAUCACCGCAGCUACACGCAGCGGGAGCUCGAGCCGCUCAGCAUCCCCUUAUGGGACCAAUGGUGCUGUGCAGAACGAUCCUCCAGCCGUCCAUCCUGGGCACAAAACCGACCCAGAGAGUCAUCGGGAUGGAUGGUUGGAGGAAUGAGCCGUGCUUGGAUGCUCUGAGAGGGGGGUGGGGGGAUAAGCCGGGCAGCUGCGGUAGGUGCAGGUGCAGAGGUGGCCUUGCGCCGCAAUCGCGGGAUUCGAUAGGUCAUAAAUUCCUUUUCCAAAGGUUCCCGUUGCUGCUUAAUGCGUUUCCCUUCUUCUGCUGAUGGAUGGGGCGCCCAGCGGGGAAGAUCAGAGCGAAACCCCUUUCUUCGGUGUUUUUGGAGGACGGAUGGGUUCCACAUCUGCCCGAGCCGUCCCGCAGCGGGAGGGGAACGCUGCUGGCUGGGAGGCCACUAAUGAGAGGCGAUCAUUUUGUUGCCUCUGGCUCUGUAACGCCCGGCGGGGCACCUCUCCCUAUCGGAGCGCUGACUGCUGUGCACGGGUCUUCAUAUUCACGACACGGAUGUUUCUAACCCAGAGGCAGUGCUGUAGCGUCUAUUUAGUAUUAAGAACGAAUAAUGCGAACGAUAACAAUAAUGAUAAUAAUAAAAAAAAACCUGGCAGGCUGGAAGAGAACCGAGCUCCCAUCCUUCCGAAGCAUCGGGUCGGUCGGGUUGGCUUUGAGGUUUACCUGACACAGAGCCAAAUUCCUGCCUGACUUUCAUGUCGGUGUUAACAGACGCACAGCGCUCCGUGCUGCUGCAGAGAGCACAGCUGGGGCGGCUGUGGAUGGGUUUGGGGGUUUUCCGUGGGGUUCCCCACUGCUGAGGAAGCGGCGGUGAUACCGACGGCCACAAUAGGGGAUCCUUAUCGGCGGAUUCCAGCCGGCUUAGAUCUGUGUCCCUUGACAUUUCCAUUCAAAAGGGCUUCCUGAGGGAGCCUGGAACAAAAGCAUACCUCGGCUGAGUGUCAGCGAAGAGAGCCGAGGAGAGGAAUUUAUCUGCUGGAAGCAGAAAGAGAAGCAACCCGAGUCAUUUCCUUUCAUC
ensembl:lncRNA